rnacentral:rRNA from 1 species
CAUAUCAAUAAGCGGAGGAAAAGAAACCAACAGGGAUUGCCCUAGUAACGGCGAGUGAAGCGGCAACAGCUCAAAUUUGAAAUCUGGCCCCCCCACGGGGGUCCGAGUUGUAAUUUGCAGAGGGUGCUUUGGCGUUGGCUGUGGUCUAAGUUCCUUGGAACAGGACGUCGCAGAGGGUGAGAAUCCCGUAUGUGGCCGCCAGUCUUCGCCGUGUAAAGCCCCUUCGACGAGUCGAGUUGUUUGGGAAUGCAGCUCUAAAUGGGAGGUAAAUUUCUUCUAAAGCUAAAUAUCUGCCAGAGACCGAUAGCGCACAAGUAGAGUGAUCGAAAGAUGAAAAGCACUUUGGAAAGAGAGUCAAAAAGCACGUGAAAUUGUUGAAAGGGAAGCGCUUGCAGUUAGACGUGCCUCUAGUUGCUCAGCCGGGCCUUCGGGCCCGGUGCACUCUUCUAUUGGCAGGCCAGCAUCAGUCUGGGCGGUCGGAUAAAGGCCCAUUAAACGUGACUCCCUCCGGGGAGAGCUUAUAGGGUGGGCGACAUGCGACCAGCCCGGACUGAGGUCCGCGCAUCUGCUAGGAUGCUGGCUUAAUAACUGUAAGCGGCCCGUCUUGAAACACGGACCAAGGAGUCUAACAUCUAUGCGAGUGUUUGGGUGUCAAGCCCGGACGCGUAAUGAAAGUGAACGGAGGUGGGAUCCCUUCGGGGUGCACCAUCGACCGAUCCUGAUGUCUUCGGAUGGAUUUGAGUAAGAGCAUAGCUGUUGGGACCCGAAAGAUGGUGAACUAUGCCUGAAUAGGGUGAAGCCAGAGGAAACUCUGGUGGAGGCUCGCAGCGGUUCUGACGUGCAAAUCGAUCGUCAAAUUUGGGCAUA